UACAUUUUUACCAAAGAUCCAGUCUAAAAUGAGCCCAAAUCAUGUCUCCAAACUUCAGGCUCCAUCCUGCAAAAGCGCUGUUUCCUGGCCUGACUGGCACUUAGAGCAACUGCAUAAAGGUGACUGCUUUUCAGUCAUUCCAGUCAUUCCACGGAGAGCACCGUGGGAAGAAACCACCUCUCUAAACCAUUCCUAUGUUAACCAGUUUCCACAGUGGAAGAGCGCUUAAGGCCAGUGAUUCGUCCAACUUCACUUUUGAUGCACAUAAGAGAAGAUUUGCAGACAAGUAGAUCCAUCUAACAAGCGCACAGUGUAGGCUGCUAACAAGCAUUUCAACUGGAACAAAAUGAUAAUGAGAAGAACAAUGGAAGUGCUAAUUACCUAUGCAAUUAAAGCUCCUUCUAUGUGCACUAGAGUAACAAUCUACUGUAUUUACAUCUCUAAUGGCUAUUAAUCUUCAACUGAAGAUGUCUAUUGGCACUACUUAUGGCUUUAGUUUAAUCAUGGUAAAAGGUAAUGGUGUGUCUUAUAGGCUGUGUCUACGUAGCUUCAAUCUAGCCAGUCAAUUUUUAAAAAGCAAUAAACUCAUUCAAGGUUUUUGUAUCAGCAUGUAAUGAUACAGAUAUACUAUGUACCAUACAUUGCAUU